CGAAAGAAGCAAGAGUGCAGAUCGCGGUGGGAUUCCAGGAGCUCUCACAAACAACCCCGCUCGGACCCACUCACAUGCAACCCACGGGCAGGUGGCAGAGGAAUCGGAAAGGCAGAAGGCUGGAAUCGCCACAAAGCCAGGGCAGCACUGGUUCCAGUUUCAGACCAUUUUCAGAAACAAAAACUCUUCCAGCACCCGGAAAAUUUUCACUUAGAAAAACAAAAGCCAGGAGUUGUGAUGGGGAAGUUGGAAGACUUUAUUUAGUUUUAUUCCUCUCAAGUACUGUGCAAAAUGUUCAGUGAAUACUUUCCUAGAGAUCACUAAUGGGAAGAAAAAGACCCUACGGCAGGCACUGCCUUUUAUGAGAAAGUGGCAUUGGCAUCAGAAUACCUCGCAUAAACCUGAGCCAAGCAUUGGGAUGAUGUAUCUACCAAAAAGUCACAAAGUAAUGUGAUCCCCAACUUUUCUUCCUUUACCUCUGAAGUAAGAGAACAAUAUAUACACUAAAUAGCAUCAUAAAACUGGUACCCUCGUUGGAAUAGUAUCUGACAAUCAUUGUCUGCUUCUUGGAUUUCUACAAACCAGUGACCUAAAAGCCAGUUUCAAGUGUAAAAAUGCCUGCACAGGAGGUGGGAACAAGGGCCGCCAAAGGCUUAGGAAUGAAAACCUAGCCACAAACUUGUCUCUCUCUGCAGGAAACUUGCAAGAAAUCUGACAGGAGCGCGCUAGCAUUUUCUGAAAAGCAUUGCUCUCAAAGGAAGCAUCCAUCCUGGCUGCAGCCUCAGCCAUCGGGGAAGGACGAGCUUCUCUGGAAUCAGCUUUCUCAUUUCCCUCUCCCUCCUCUCAAGACAAACAUUUUCUCCCAGCUUGAACGUUCCCCCCGGGCGCGCGGACCUCCUGCCGCCUGGAGCCGAGCUGGCACUGGAGCGCGUCUCCUCCGGAGCGCAGAGGCACCCGACGCCGUGAGGCAGCUCGCAGCCUUUCCCCACGACCUUCUAGAAUAGCCCUGCUCUGCCUCCCUCCGGUCUCCCGAGUGCGCCUGUCAUCCUGCCUCGGGGCGCGCACGAUGCCGGUCGAAAAGGAACCCAGUUUUCAGUGUGCCUUGUUGCCCAAGCCGAGGACUCAGCGGACCUCGCCUUUUUCUCCUGGAAGCCUCGCGGCCCUCCAGAUGGACUCGGAGCGCCCCUGGAGGCUACAGUGACCCGAGUUCUAGGAAGGCCGGGUCCUGGACGCCGCGUGCUGCUGUCCGCCGACCGGUGUCCUCGCAGAGAUAACCUGGCUGAACUCACCGCCCAGCGCUGUCAGUUCUCCCUCAUGACAACCCAAAACUUGACCGGAUUUGUGUUCUGCAGAGAGGAAAAAAAAAAGCGGCCACAGGACACCAAUGCAGUAGCCAGGGUGGGCCUGUGGCUCUGGCUCCAGCCUCCAGGGACACCAGCCAGAGAGAAGGAAGCCAUGCAUGGAGAGCAGCCAAGCAGAUGGAAAAGCGCCGGGCAGGUGCAACAGUCCCGGGCUCCAGCCUCACCCCUGCGCUUUCUGAACACUGGUUCUGGGGACAGCACACUCCCUUUUGCUAGCUUGGAAUGAGAUUUCUAUUUUCUAUAACCAAUGAGUCUUGACUAGUGCACUCCCCCCUGUUCUUAAGAGGGCAAGAACCAAGAUUUAUCUUUAUUGCUCAUCUGUCACCCAAAAGAGGCCAUCACAGAACCAAACACAGUAACAUCCAGGAAAUGCUGAGGUUAAUUGCCAUUCAUUCAUUCAUUCAUUCAGCAAAUACUUAUUGUGAUCUGCUCUGUUCCCAACACUGCUGUAGACCCCGGGGAUUAGCAGUGACUAAAAGCAGAUGAAUAGCAGGAGGUAAGUUAAAAGCAAAGAAGGGGAGGCAGCACUGAGGACCUUACAGGCUGCAGGAAGGGUUUAGGCUUUCACUCUGAGAGGUGAAGGGCGACACUGGAGAAUUCUGAUCAGAGGAGACACGGGUAAGCAGGCUCUUACAAUCCCAGUGAGGCAAGACGGUGCUUGGACAUGAUGGACAGCAGUGGGGCAUGAGAACCAACGAGGUUCUGGAUGCAUCUUAAAGGUAUGGCUUGGGAGAUUUUCUGACUCAUUGGAUGUAGAGAAAAAGAGGAUUUGCAAUAUACCAAGUCACACUGCUCUCAUGCUGCUCGUUAACUCUCCAUUGUGACUUCUGUAAUUUCAGGAUGUCACUCUUUAAUUUCAUUUUAAUGAACUAAUCAUAUGCCAUAAUCUGUAGAUGCACACAGUGAAAGCUCAUCAGACAUCAGUUUCCUUCCCUCCAUCCUCAUGAGAUGCAUGUGCACGUAUCUUCCUCCCCAGAAUGAUACUUAUUAGAGCAACUUUCUUAGGGGUACAUUUCAGAGUGAAGCACAAUGCAAAACUACUUCCAAUUUUAGAGUUUCAGAACCCUCAACCAUGGGCUGUUUGAUAUUAAAUGAAAUUACUGACACUUAUGAGUUUUGAUUCUGAUUUCAUUACAAAUUUGGGAGUGUGUGUUUAAUCAAAAGGUAUUAUUACCUUUAGGUUUAAAAGAUCUUAAAGAAAAUGGAACUCGGAGUCAGUCAUCUGUUCUGAAUGUGGUCAUCUCAAAAAUAUGAGCACAAGGAAGUUUUCUUCCUUCUUGUCAGUUUUGAGUCCAAUGUCAAUACUGUUGUCCUGUGAAAGAUUUUAAGAUUUUAAUAUUUUUUCACAUAAUUUCCUGAU